rnacentral:rRNA from 1 species
GAUGAACGCUAGCGGGAGGCCUAACACAUGCAAGCCGAGCGGUAUUGUUUCUUCUGAAAUGAGAGAGCGGCGUACGGGUGCGUAACACGUGUGCAACCUUCCUUUAUCUGGGGGAUAGCCUUUCGAAAGGAAGAUUAAUACUCCAUAAUAUAUUGAACGGCAUCGUUUUAUAUUUUAAGCUCCGGCGGAUAUAGAUGGGCAGGCGCAAGAUUAGCUAGUUGGUGAGGUAACGGCUCACCAAGGCGAUGAUCUUUAGGGGGCCUGAGAGGGUGAUACCCCACAAGGGUAAUGAGAAACGGACCAGAAUGGUACGGGAGGCAGCAGUGAGGAAGAGUGGUGAAUGGGUGCAAGCCUGAACCAGCCAACCCGGGUGAAGGACGACUGCGAUAGGGGUUGUAAACUUCUUUUGUAUAGGGAUAAAACUACCAUAGAGAGGGUAGAUGAAGGUACUAAACGAAUAAGCACCGGCUAACUCCGUG